UCCGGCUCUGGGACCCGACCGUGGGUUGCUGAAUCCCGAGCAGCUGGAACAGCUGCGAAAUUUCAAGAUCCAGACUCGGAUUGCUAACGAAAGGUACCUGAGGACCCACAAGGAAGUGGAGUUGCUCCUAAGUGGUUUCUUCAGAGAGAUGUUCCUGAAAAGACCAGACAACGUCCUAGAAUUUGCUGCAGGUGAGCGUGGCAGCAUCCGUGCAGGGUAUGGUACCGCCAGGCGAGGGUAUGGCUGGUAGUCUGGCAGAAGUUCCCUGCUGUGCCUGGGGCC
rnacentral:lncRNA from 1 species